AGGGCAACUAGAGGUUGUACUUCUCUUCAACAAGGCCGGCCCGUGGUUGGGCCUCGGCCCGUUCCUCAUUCAUUCUCGGGGCGCUAAAGGUAAUUCAUUCACACACGCUAAAAGAAUGUACUGUAAUUCCUAUACACCUCACCUUUUUUUUUUUUUUGAGGAACCUAUACACCUCACCUUUGGUAGUGUUUAGAGAUACCGGAGGAGACAUCUGCCAUGGAAGCUUUCAUGUGACAUGAAUACAUGAUGCGUACCGUGUUUUCCUUAAUGCCAAUACGGAAAUGCUACACCUACGCGAAUAACCGACUACGGAAUUCUACUGACAAAUCUUCUUCCUUAGUUUUCUCACCUGCUGUUNNNNNNNNNNNNNNNNNNNNNNNNNNNNNNNNNNNNNNNNNNNNNNNNNNNNNNNNNNNNNNNNNNNNNNNNNNNNNNNNNNNNNNNNNNNNNNNNNNNNNNNNNNNNNNNNNNNNNNNNNNNNNNNNNNNNNNNNNNNNNNNNNNNNNNNNNNNNNNNNNNNNNNNNNNNNNNNNNNNNNNNNNNNNNNNNNNNNNNNNNNNNNNNNNNNNNNNNNNNNNNNNNNNNNNNNNNNNNNNNNNNNNNNNNNNNNNNGGGGGGGUGUGGAAUGGCGCCUAGCGCGCUCCUUAGUUCUAAUCCCCCGUGAUCUCAACCGACCGCUCUCCACGUCAGCCGCGCAGAGCUUCUUUCGCGCCAUCUAUCCCGUACAUGUAGCACGGCUCGUGCCUAUAUAUACGUCCCUCUCCAUUUCUCCGUGACCCGAAUCUAUCAAUGGCGCGAAGCAUGGACAUGGUGCCGCUGCUGCUUCUGUGCAUGGCCGCGGCCAUGGAGGGCGCGGCGGCGCUGCACCUGUGCGUGGACCGGCUGUACGACAGCACGCAGGGCAAGCACGACGACGGCCUGCCCCACCUGAACCCGACGGAGGAGGCGACCUGGAUGGCGCUCCUGCCGCGCAAGCUCGGCGCCAAGGCCGAGUUCGACUGGCUCGCGCUCUACCGGAGCCUCACGCGCGGCGCCGGCGGCGCCCCUGCGGAGUUCCUCUCCCAGGCGUCCCUGCACGACGUCCGCCUCGCCCCCGGCUCCAUGUACUGGCAGGGCCAGCAGACCAACCUCGAGUACCUCCUCUACCUCGACCCCGACCGCCUCACCUGGAGCUUCCGCCAGCAGGCCGGCCUGCCCACCGUCGGCGAGCCCUACGGCGGGUGGGAGGCGCCCGACGGCCACCUCCGCGGCCAUUUCGUAGGUCAGUCGCCGCCGCCACCUCCGCCCGUCUCAUCAUCUCUCCAUUCCGGCUACAUUUCUUGCAUUUCAUUUGAUCAUGAAACCGGUGUACGUACGUGUUCGUCCGCAGGGCACUACCUGAGCGCGAGCGCGCACAUGUGGGCGAGCACGCACAACGACACCCUGAGGGAGAAGAUGGCCAGGGUGGUGGACAUCCUCGACGACUGCCAGAGGAAGAUGGGCACGGGGUACCUUUCGGCUUACCCCGACGAGGUGUUCGACAUGUACGAGGAGCUCUCCGAGGCCUGGUCGCCCUACUACACCAUCCACAAGGUCGAUCCGCGCAUCAAAACAAAAAACACAAUCCAACUUUUAGUGUGAUUUGGUUCCAGUUAUUGACAUUCAUGUCACUUUACUUACUGUUUUCUGACAGAUCAUGCAAGGCCUUCUGGAUCAGUACACGUUGGCUUCGAAUCGAAAGGGCCUUGACAUGGUGGUGUGGAUGACGGAUUACUUCAGCGAGCGUGUGAAGAACCUGAUACAGACGCACUCGAUCCAGAGGCACUGGGAGGCGAUGAACGAGGAGACCGGCGGAUUGAACGAUGUCAUGUAUCAACUGUAUACCCUGACGGUAACAUCGUACUAUCUCAUUGCAACUAGUAGUGUUUUGUGAUCUUCGUUCAGGUUGUGAACUUGCGGUGUACAUAUGUAUCAAAUCCUGACAAGAGCUGUUUUCUAUCUCUGCAGAAAGAGCAGAAGCACCUAACGAUGGCCCAUCUUUUCGACAAACCGUGCUUCCUCGGCCCCCUCAGCCUUCAUGUCAGGAGAACUUUGGGUUUCAUUUCGAUUUCUGAGAUUUCAGAAGUUUUAAGCAACGGUUGGGUGAUGUCGGCCUUUUUCUUUUCAGGAUGAUGAUAUAGCGGGGUUGCAUGUUAACACUCACAUUCCUGUCCUAGUCGGUGCGCAAAAGAGAUAUGAAGUCGUCGGUGACCAUCUUUACAAGGUAACUUGAAAUUUUUCUUAGAAUCGUCGAUGGACAAUGUCAUAAGCUUCAUCAACUUGUAACUGUGCAACUAUCAUGUCAUGUUACUCAUAAAACAGCAAAGAGAAAUGACACAGUACCAUCCAUUUUUCAAAAUUUUGGUGAACUGAAUACUGGACUAACCCAUGGCACAGGACAUUGCAACAUUCUUCUUUGACGUUGUAAACUCCUCCCACAUAUUUGCAACAGGAGGCACAUCUACCUCGGAACACUGGUGAGCGAUAAUACUUGCCUCACCAUAUUUCCGCCUUGCGACAUUUCCCCGCUCAAGUUCUUUGCGCAUGCCAGGCACGACCCGAAGCGACUAGUAGACGAGAUCAAAAUCAGCUCCAACGAGGAGACUUGCACCACCUACGACUUGCUUAAGGUCAAGUGUUGCACUCAAUCUACCAUCACAGGUAUUAAUAAUUCAACAGAAGACAGAUUCUGAACUUGCCUUUUGCUGUGCAAUAUAAAUUGCAGGUGUCCCGAAACCUGUUCAGGUGGACGAAGGAAGUCAAGUAUGCCGAUCACUACGAGAGGCUGCUCAUCAAUGGGAUCAUGGGCAACCAGAGGGGAACGCAGCCUGGUGUCAUGAUCUACUUCCUUCCCAUGGGUCCUGGGCGAUCCAAGAGCAUCAGCGGCGGGCACCCUUCCGGCCUUCCCCCCAAGAACCCCGGGGGGUGGGGAGGUCCAAAUGACACCUUCUGGUGCUGCUACGGGACAGGUAAAAUUUUCAGUACCCGCGGAAGUGAUCUUGCUGCUACUGCUGCUGUUUCUAAAUCAAAGAUUAAAUUGACAAUUGACAGGGAUAGAAUCGUUCUCAAAGUUGGGGGACACCAUAUACUUCCUGGAGGAGGGUGAAGUGCCGGGGCUCUACAUCGCGCAGCACAUACCGAGCACCUUCGACUGGAAAGCAGCAGGCCUCACCGUGGUGCAGCAGGCCAAGCCACUGCUGUCGACGGAUCCUUACUUUGAAGUCACAAUCUCCAUUUCUGCCAAGGUAGCUUCUGAAUGACACUACCCAGCCAUGGUGCUUAGCUGGGCCUGCAUCUUCUUUGACCCAAGCAAGAAUUAGUGUAACUUUUUUUCAUUUGUUUUGCUUUCUAAUGCACACAGGGAGAUGCCCAGCCAGCAAAGGUGAGCGUGAGGAUCCCUUCAUGGACAUCCACAGCUGACGCAAUGGCAACUCUGAAUGGCAAAAAACUCAACCUGACAUCUGCAGGUAACUUCACUGAUGGACUGUACUGAUACUUCAUACGAGACUGUGAGAGAUCCCCAUGCUUCAAGCUUGUCUCGUUCUCUCGCAGGUGAUUUCCUCACGUUGACAAAACUCUGGGGCGAUGAUACCUUAGUGCUCCAAUUUCCCAUUAACUUGAGAACCGAGGCAAUCAAAGGUAUGAAAUUUCAGAGUACAAUGUCUGAAUCUUUCUGGGCAGAAGGUUAGGUGUCUGAACUUAAGAAAAAGUAGUCUGAAACGGUAGUUUUCUUCUGCAGAUGACCGGCCGGAGUAUGCGUCCAUCCAGGCGGUGCUGUUCGGGCCGCACCUCCUCGCCGGCCUGACACACGGCAACAAGGCCAUUAACGCGACCGAGCACUCCAACGACGGCCUGACCCCGGGCAUGUGGGAGGUGGACGCCAGGAACGCCACCUCCACGGCCGACUGGAUCGCCGCGCUCCCUCAUGAGGCGAUCAACUCGCAGCUCGUCACCCUGACGCAGCGGUCCGGCGCGCAGACCUUCGUCCUGUCGGUGUCGGCCACCGACGGCACGCUGACAAUGGAGCGUAUGCCCGUCGCCGGCAGCGACGCGUGCGUGCGCGCCACGAUCGUGGUCGACACGUACGUGGUGGACAGCACCGCCGCUGAGCACGGCGCCGCCGCUCCUGUUCUGCAUGGGCCGAACGUGACGAUCGCGCCGUUCGACAGGCCGGGCAUGGCGAUCACCAACGGCUUCGAGGUCAAGCUGCAUCCAGGGCCGGAGGCCCUGUUCAACGCCGUGCCCGGGCUGGACGGGCUCCCCGGCUCGGUGUCCCUGGAGCUCGGCACCAGGCCAGGGUGCUUCGUGAGGGCGCCCGCGGGCUACAGCGCCGGCGACAAGGCCCAGGUCGGCUGCCGGACGAGCAGCGGCGGCGGCGACGACGCGGCGUUCCGGAAGGCGGCGAGCUUCACGCAGGCGGCGCCGCUGCGCCUGUACCACCCGCUGAGCUUCGUGGCCAAGGGCACGGAGAGGAGCUUCGUGCUGGAGCCGCUGCGGAGCCUCCAGGACGAGUUCUACACCGUCUACUUCAACCUGGUCACCGCCGCCGCCGACAGCUGAAACGUGCUGCUGAACUGACGACCCAUGUGCAGACAGACCAGAGCUUCAGAGAGUGGCGGCAGUCUGGCUCUGGCUCUGGCUCUGGCAGUGGCAGUGGCAGAGACAUGUGCCACGGCCACACAAUUACUACCUGUACUGUUGGAGCAGCAUCUCCCAUCACCAAAACAAUAUUAACGCUGUUGCAUGUUCCUCGAGUGAAAACAGUGCUGUGUGCAUGCAUCUCGGUGUGAGAUCGGCCCGUGUCUGUGUGAUGUGGUUGAGAUUUCUCGAGGUUGGCCAGGAUCUUGAUCCAUGCACCUUUCAUUCAUGCCGCGUCGCCAUAAGUGUCGUCCUGUUAGGUGCACAUAUAUGGUAGCAUUAUUGUUCAUGUGGACGUGUGGUACAAUCUUCGAUAUGUAGGCAUAUGGCAUAGCCUACCGUGAUGAGCNNNNNNNNNNNNNNNNNNNNNNNNNNNNNNNNNNNNNNNNNNNNNNNNNNNNNNNNNNNNNNNNNNNNNNNNNNNNNNNNNNNNNNNNNNNNNNNNNNNNNNNNNNNNNNNNNNNNNNNNNNNNNNNNNNNNNNNNNNNNNNNNNNNNNNNNNNNNNNNNNNNNNNNNNNNNNNNNNNNNNNNNNNNNNNNNNNNNNNNNNNNNNNNNNNNNNNNNNNNNNNNNNNNNNNNNNNNNNNNNNNNNNNNNNNNNNNNNNNNNNNNNNNNNNNNNNNNNNNNNNNNNNNNNNNNNNNNNNNNNNNNNNNNNNNNNNNNNNNNNNNNNNNNNNNNNNNNNNNNNNNNNNNNNNNNNNNNNNNNNNNNNNNNNNNNNNNNNNNNNNAUCAUAUUCAAAUCGUUUUCCACCGCGGGCUAAGCUAAGCUAGCUUGCCUUGUACUGGCCCGCUGCUACUUACAUCACGGGAAUGCAACGUGACAAAGAGGACGCAAUGUGACAAGCCGCCGUGUGUGCGUCACCUGAUGGAUCGCCGAGUAAAACCGAUAAGCCAGCAGUAGAGUAGAGGUCUUGUUUACUCAUCCUCCCGUGUUUGACUGUGCGUCGUCCGUUCGUUCGUUCGCUUGUUCGUAAUAGCACAUUAAAUCUCUCGAGACUGAAACGCUGUCUUUUUCCUGUGGACCGUGAUCGCGCUCGCACGGGCGCGGCGAUAAAAGCCUCCGGGAUUCUUGAGGUUUCUGCCCACAGCCACACCGCCGCUCCGUUUGCGUCUGCGUGUGUGCUUGUUUGGGGAGUGGUUGUGGAGUGGAGUGGUGGUCGCUGAGCCAGGGGGGUGCCUUAUCCUGGCAAUGGCCCCGGCGCCGCCGCUGGUGAUGGCGACGGCGACGGCGGUGGCAUUGGUGCUGCUGUUGUCGUGCGUGGCGGUGGUGGCCAAGGAGUGCACGAACGUGCCGACGCAGCUGUCGUCGCACACGGUGCGGGCGCGGCUGCAGAGCACGCCGGGGGCGGAGGAGUGGCGGUGGCGGGAGCUGUUCCACGACCACCUCAACCCCACCGACGAGUCCGCGUGGAUGGACCUCCUCCCCCUCGCCGCCGCUGCCGCCGGCUCCGCGGAGGCGACCGAGGAGUUCGACUGGGCGAUGCUGUACCGGACGCUCAAGGGCGGCGUCGGCUCGUCGGCGGCGCGGGCCGGGGCGCCGCCCUCGUCGUCGUUCCUGGUGGAGGCGUCGCUGCACGACGUGCGGCUGGACCCCGGCGACGAGGUGUACGGGCGCGCGCAGCAGACCAACCUCGAGUACCUGCUGCUCCUGGACGUGGACCGGCUGGUGUGGAGCUUCCGGAGGCAGGCCGGGCUGCCGGCGCCCGGCGUGCCCUACGGCGGCUGGGAGGGCGCCGUCGUUGAGCUCCGGGGCCACUUCGUCGGUACGUAGUCCAUCGCAUAACCGUAGUAUACAUUAUCCAGUCAAUUUUCUAUGUGGCUCGCGCUCGCCAUUCGUGGAGGUCGAUCGUGGGGAUUUAACCCGGCCGUUAAUUCUCUGUGAAAUUCCCAUGAGAUUCCUACGCUGGUUUCGUUCUCGUAAAGCAGCAGAAGGAUUCAAGAUGUUCCCUAACUACCGUGCAUGAUUGUUUGGAUUGGAUGGAUGGAGGACGAGGCGGUUCAUGGCUCCGGCCUAUAUAUCAGGCCCGGAAAGAAAGCUCAAUUCUGUCCGACUGAGACAGAUGGGCCGUGGGGUUCAGGGUUGGGUAGAGUUUUGGCCCAUGAAGAUAAGAUCGGCUGCCUUGUCUAACCCCAAUUCUUUGAUAGCAACAUUUGAGGAGUAUGUUUGUUUGGUUAUCAAUUUAUUUAUUUUUGCUAAAUUUUUGUUUAUUAAUAUAGACUUUGCUAUUUGUUUGGAUGUUUUUGGAAUUUGUGUAUGUUGGUGCCAACUUGCUUAAUGUAGUUCAUUUAUUUACCCGCAAAAAAAUGUAGUUCAUUUAUUUACCCGCAACAAAAAUGUAGUUCAUUUAUUUACCCGCAACAAAAAUGUAGUUCAUUUAUUUGUAAUAGCCAUUGCUAUUUGUUUGGAUGGUUCUGGAAUAUUUGAUAUGUUUGUGGCAACUUGCAUACAGCAGUUCAUUUUCAACAUUAAAUGAGCACGCACAAUUUUAGUAUACUACUAAUAUUUUGGCAGGGUGGCUGUAAUAUUUUUUUUUAAAUCACAGGGUGAACUUGGGCUCAAACAAGACAUAUCAUACGUGUCUCUAACUCAAGAUUUUAUUUAAGUAAACAAUACAAAUUAGGCCCAGGAUUUUAGAAAGUUACAAAAUAGAUACACGAGUAUUCGCAAUCGGACCCAAAUGGAGCGGCACCUCACUUUUGUGCGCAAUGCAGGGCACUACCUGAGCGCGGCGGCCAAGAUGUGGGCGAGCACGCACAAUGGCACGCUCGCCGGCAAGAUGUCCGCCGUGGUGGACGCCCUCCACGCGUGCCAGCAGGCGCCGGCCAAUGGCGGCGCCGGCUACCUCUCCGCCUUCCCCGCCGAGUUCUUCGACCGCUUCGAGGCCAUCCAGCCCGUCUGGGCUCCCUACUACACCAUCCACAAGGUACACACAUACGAUACAAGCAGCCAUCGCGUACUCUGCUGCGAAACUCUGCUUCGUCGCUGAGGAGUGAGGACUGACCUUCUCGCUGUGUUUCUUCCUCGCGGACGGUGGGCAGAUCAUGCAGGGCCUCCUGGACCAGUACACGGUGGCCGGCAACGGCAAGGCCCUGGCCAUGGUGGUCGCCAUGGCCGGCUACUUCGGCGAGCGCGUGAGGAGCGUCAUACAGCGGCACAGCAUCGAGCGGCACUGGACGUCCCUCAACGAGGAGACCGGCGGCAUGAACGACGUGCUCUACCAGCUCUACGCCAUCACUGUAACCUUGCCCCGUCACCACCUCUUUUGCCACGUCUGUUCAUGGCUUCAUGCUGCCUCUGACGCUGAUACGUUUUGCUCCGUUCGCCAGAAUGAUCAGCGGCACCUGGUGCUCGCUCACCUUUUCGACAAGCCGUGCUUCCUCGGAUUGCUCGCAGUUCAGGUCCGACGAGCUUCCUUUCGCCCUGUGGCUUUCUGAUACCUGCUCUGCAUUUUCUUCAUGGUUUACUAAACACACACUCGAAGCAUGAGCUACGUGUUCUGAAUGGUGUGUCUUCUUCCCGUUUCCUAUUCAGGCUGACAGUCUUUCGGAUUUCCACGCCAACACGCACAUUCCGAUCGUCGUCGGCGGGCAAAUGAGAUACGAGGUUACCGGCGAUCCUCUCUACAAGGUAAGAAAAAGUUCCUCCAAGUCUACAUUUCAGGAAGUUUUAAGUGUCAAUUUGUUUCAGCAUGAGUUGAUUCGGGUGAGAGUGAGACUGACAGUAACAUUCGUGAAACAGGAAAUCGCAACGUUCUUCAUGGACGUAGUAAACUCUUCACACACCUACGCAACCGGCGGCACAUCCGUCAGUGAAUUCUGGUACGUAACUGAUUCUAGAAUGAUGCCAGAAGUUUACAAUUUGUCUUCUGUCAGAAAAUUCAUUUCUGAAAUGAUUUUGCCAGGUUCGAUCCAAAGCGUUUAGCCGAGACUCUGACCACCGAGAACGAGGAGUCCUGCACCACAUACAACAUGCUCAAGGUGAUCUACAUCUUCAUCCUCGGAUCACCAAAAUAACUCGUCAUCCCAAGAAUCUCUGCUAAAGAAAUUAUGCAGGUAUCUCGCCACCUCUUCAGAUGGACGAAAGAGAUCGCGUACGCGGACUACUACGAGCGUGCGCUGAUAAACGGCGUCCUGAGCAUCCAGAGAGGGAGGGACCCCGGCGUCAUGAUCUACAUGCUGCCCCAGGGCCCUGGAAAAUCCAAGGCAGUGAGCUACCAUGGCUGGGGGACACAGUAUGAUUCAUUCUGGUGCUGCUAUGGGACUGGUAAGUAGUAGUAGGCAGAUCUCUGAGUUUCAGAACUGGCAAUUUGAGAUGUCUGAAUUGUUGCCUGAUCUGUUAUCUGCAGGGAUAGAAUCAUUUUCCAAGCUUGGGGACUCGAUCUACUUGGAGGAGAAAGGCGGCAAACCGGCGCUAUAUAUCGUUCAGUACAUACCGAGCACGUUCAACUGGAGAUCUGUAGGCCUUACUGUCACUCAGCAAGUGAAGCCCCUCAGCUCAUCUGAUCAGAAUCUUCAGGUUUCGCUGUCCAUAUCGGCGAAGGUAAAGCAGGAGACUUUUUCGAUGAUGAUUCGUUGGAAAGGAUAGGGGUUUAGUCAAUCUGCUUUAUGCCGUGCAGACGAACGGUCAGUACGCGACGGUGAAUGUGAGAAUUCCGUCGUGGGCAUCUCCGAAUGGUGCGAAAGCAACACUGAAUGACAAAGAUCUGCAAAUGGCAUCUCCAGGUAAGAGCACAUUCCACUAAUAUUUGGCAAAUAUUUGAUGAAACAGAGACUUGAUUGUUCUAAGUUCAAACUCAAUCUCUGUUUUAUCAGGAACCUUCCUCUCAGUCACCAAGCAGUGGGGUAGUGGUGAUCGCCUCACACUCCAGCUGCCUAUUGGCCUGAGGACAGAAGCUAUAAAAGGUCUGAGAAAUUUCACCUUUUUUUACUAUGGAUCAAAUGUUUUUCAGCUUGAACGGAGGAACUUGCAACUUCAUGCGUCCACAGUUAUCAAACUCACUCUUACUCUUACAUCUGCAGAUGAUCGGCCGGAGUAUGCGACUCUCCAAGCAGUCCUCUUCGGGCCAUUCCUCCUCGCCGGCCUCACGACCGGAGACUGGGACGCCAAGGCCGGCGGCGCCGCCGUCUCGGAAUGGAUCACCCCUGUCCCGGCAUCGUACAACUCCCAGCUGGUGACGCUGACGCAGGAAUCCGGCAACGGCACCUUGGUCCUCUCCCUCCUCUCGACCGCCAAAGCCACCUCCCUGACGAUGCAGCCGCACCCCGAGGGUGGCGGGACCGACGCCGCCGUGCACGCCACAUUCCGUCUGGUCCCCCAGGGGCAGGUCGCCCCGCCGACGGGCGAGCGGCGCCACGCCACCAACGGCACCGCCGCCACGGCGACGCUUGCAUCCGCGCUGAUCGAGCCGUUCGACAUGCCGGGAAUGGCAGUCUCCAACAACCUGACGCUGGCGGCAGAGAAGGGCCCGAGCUCUCUGUUCAACGUCGUCCCUGGGCUCGACAGGGCGCCCGGAUCAGUCUCCCUCGAGCUCGCGGCCAGGCCGGGGUGCUUUCUGAUCACCGCCGGCGCGAAGGCGAAUGUUCAGGUCGGCUGUGGCCCGGGGUUUUCCCUGCAGGCGGCGAGCUUCGCACGGGCCGAGCCGCUGCGGCGGUACCAUCCGAUCAGUUUCGCCGCCAGGGGGGCGAGGAGGAGCUUCCUCCUGGAGCCGUUGUUCACGCUGAGGGACGAGUUCUACACCGUCUACUUCAACGUCGGCGCCUGACAAAUGAACUAGUCUAGUCUGGUCUACUGAAUAACUCGUCAGUAGGAAACUGAAAAAUUCAGUUGUUCUUCAUUUGUAUGAACGGAUAAGAAUCUUCUGAUUCUGCGAAUGAAGUUUUGGCAGACGAAAAAAAAAUAGUCUGAUCUCAGGGUCACCAGAGUUCCAGAAACCCUGUAAAUUUAAGAAACUCAAGUGGUACGGGUUGGUGACAGCGAUGAGCCCGUCGAAAAAUUCAAUGGCAGAUCCAAGAGCGAGAGCAAGAGAGAGACCGUGCCGCCAACGGAGAACGAAAAACUAUGCGCAUAGAGCAGUAGAAUCUAGGCAAGAAAUUCUUGGUAGAAUGGGGAGCAUGAUCGUAGAAGCCAAACGGGCAAAGACGACGCAGCGGACGACUGCGGCUAGAAACCCAUCCCAGCGGCCAAACGCAGAGCGCCACCACUGCAUUUCGUCCUGGUUGCGUGUUCCAACCCAGCCAGCCCAAAGCUCCCACACAAGACGAGCAUGACAUGCCAGAAUUCCCCAGAUAAUAUCAGACACCAUCUCACAACCAACCUCACAGCAGAAUUCCACCAAGAUCUCACCAGACACUGAACUUCUAUCUUCCGGUGGAGAUAGCCCAGCUGCACAGGUGUGAUGUAAAUUUUCUCAGGGGCUAACUGGCCUGAAGAUCAGGAACACAGGAACUAUUGACAAGGGGGAAAGACCAUGGAUAUACCAUAAUAACAGACGACGACGCUUACUCGAUACCAUUACCGGUUGCGACUGUAAGACAGACAGACAGACGGACACCAGGAGGAAACAGGAGUACAUUACAGAGUGCUAGCCAAAAUGCGAAAGCCACAAUACCGUUACCGUUCCGCCGCGCAGAGAGACGACCAUAAAUAAAGCUUACACAACAUAGCCAACAAGGAGACCGUUCGGACCUGGGGCUGCCGCCGAGGCGCGUGUGCCGUGCAUCACGAUUGCCCAACAACAACUAGGAUUGCAGAAGCCAACAUGAUGAAAGGAUAAUGCAGCAAAGACGCACGAUGACGAGGUAGCGCAGAUUUGAUUUGGGACCUUAUGUUCUGCCGACCGUAGGGGGGCCCUUCCUAGAUCUUGUCGAGCUUCUCCGCCUUCACCACCGGGUUGGCCUUGGCGAUGGCGUCCAUGGCCGCGGCGCGGUAGUCAAACUUGCACUCAUGCUUGUCCGAGUAACGGUGCGUCGCGCAGUAGAGGUUCCCGCACCGGCAGUUGAAUCCGGUCAGCCCGACCCUCUUUCUGCAGGUGCUGCACCGGCUUGGGCCUUUGGGGUUCUCCAUCGCCGCCUCGCUGGGACCGGCGAUAUCAGCAGGCUGUGCGGUAAUAAGCGUCUUCGCCUCUACGUGAGCAACUGCCACCGCCGUGUUGCCAGCAGCAAGAUGUUCUUUCGCGGCAUCACCACCGUUGACGAUGCUGUCAAAAGAGGAGGCGGCCAGCUUGGCCUGCUCCUGCUUCAUCGCCAUCUCCUUGUGGCACUUGGAGCACAUGUUCAUGGUCGCCGCACUGCCGAAGAAGCCGCAGUUAUUGACGCAAAGGAUGGGGCCCUCACGAGACUGGCAGCCGGUCUCCUUGUGCUCCAUGACUUUGAUUUAACUGCAAAUCAGACACAACACGGUCAAGACAAACACUUCACAAGGGUAUAAUCUUCACAGCACAGGCACAAAUUGUAUUUCAGACUAUCACUGCGGAGUUGGCAAUUUACAGAUGAACAUGGUAUAAUCUUCAGUCACGUUUUGGCCUACUGAAUCCAAAUCUACUAAAGUACGUUAGUUGCUCGACAAAGCAUCUUAUCUUACAAAAGGGUAGUGGUGGCUGCUUGGUCAAAACACCGAACUGAAGGUACUACCACUAAACGAUGCAGCCUGCCUGCCUUAUAACUAGCCAACAGCGGCCUAAUCACCUACCUGCAUCAGAGCAGAUCAGAGUAUAGCAGGGGAAAUUAAUUCUAAAGAAAGGCCCCGACUUUACGACGCUUUACGCAACAGCGGCAACAAAUCCGUAAAGUAGCAAACCGUAUCCGCGCACUAACUUUUGCGAAAGCGGCCGCAUCAACAACCGGCUGCCGCAGCGAACACACCGGGCGGAUACGUGUAAAGGAGGCCGGCCGGCCGCCUUUACUACUACACCGGAGCGCCGAAUUAGGCAACGGCUCGUCGCCGUUCUGCGGAAUUGGACGCCGGGAGAACAAAUCGGAGCGGGCCGGCGGCUUCUACGGCGGCCGGAGGAAUCAACGGCCACAGAUAAAAUCAGGACUUUUGACCGGGAGAAAUAAAGGCACACGGGCUACCACAGAACGUGCUAAGAAAAACAGAUGUUUGUCACCGGGAAAAGAGGGUCGCCGGGCCACGAACCUGAUAGGAGGAAGCCCUCGUCGCGAUUCCUCUCCGGCGAUCCCUGCAGAGAGACCCAACAAAAAUCAUCAGACGAAAAGUUCCGGGGNNNNNNNNNNNNNNNNNNNNNNNNNNNNNNNNNNNNNNNNNNNNNNNNNNNNNNNNNNNNNNNNNNNNNNNNNNNNNNNNNNNNNNNNNNNNNNNNNNNNNNNNNNNNNNNNNNNNNNNNNNNNNNNNNNNNNNNNNNNNNNNNNNNNNNNNNNNNNNNNNNNNNNNNNNNNNNNNNNNNNNNNNNNNNNNNNNNNNNNNNNNNNNNNNNNNNNNNNNNNNNNNNNNNNNNNNNNNNNNNNNNNNNNNNNNNNNNNNNNNNNNNNNNNNNNNNNNNNNNNNNNNNNNNNNNNNNNNNNNNNNNNNNNNNNNNNNNNNNNNNNNNNNNNNNNNNNNNNNNNNNNNNNNNNNNNNNNNNNNNNNNNNNNNNNNNNNNNNNNNNNNNNNNNNNNNNNNNNNNNNNNNNNNNNNNNNNNNNNNNNNNNNNNNNNNNNNNNNNNNNNNNNNNNNNNNNNNNNNNNNNNNNNNNNNNNNNNNNNNGCGCCGAUUUUUUCCUUCCCAUUCUGCGGCGGCCCCCGCCGUUGGAUUGGAUUGGAUUGGAUUGCCGCCUGGAGCUUUUCGGAUCGUACUUGUUUUCUCAGUUUUUUUUUUCGCAGGAGGCAGGAGAUUUGGGGUGUGUUUGGUUUCUGGAAUGGACUGGAAUGUCAUUGGUCGGACCUGUUCCUGGGCCUAGUCUUCGCGUUUGGUUCAUGGAUGGAAUUCGUUCCCGUAGACCGAAUAUUCGGUCCAGAUGCGGAACCGAGUGGAACCUUCAAAUCGAGCGGACGACAAGGAACCGUCUCCCUCGUCUCACUCCCGCAAACCCCAUCGACCGUCACCUGCGCUGCCUACCCUCGUCUCUCUCCCUCCUCGAUCUGCUCCGUCGCCGUGAUUCCUUCGAAUCCUCGCCGCCGGCUCACUCUUCUUUUCUCGCUAUCUGCAGCACCACAGGGGAGUCACGGACGGGGCAGAUGACCGUCCUCUCUCCAACCGGAGCUGCGUGGCGGCGUUCUUGCAGUGGGGCGGCGGUCUAGGUGUGAUUCCGGCGGACUCAUGGUUCGCUCGUUAGUUCGUCCGUUCGGGAUGUCUGCUCGUCCAUCCGCAGUUCGAACCUCUCCUUCCUUUUUGUUUCCUCAGAUGGGCAAGUGCGUGAGGACAACAACAAGCAGCGGACGCCGGCAGGUAGUGCUGGAAGCGACGGAUUGAUUUGUUGAAUUCUGCAACUCGCCACAGCAAGCAGUGUACAGAUGGUUUUGUAUUUGUUAAACACAGUACAAUGUACGUAUGUUACAGAAUGAAAAAUACAUCGUUAAGUAUGUCGCUGAUGUAAAUUUCGGAUUGGAUGUAUAUUGUUUGGCUAGUUCUAAAAUGUUUGUCUGUACAAUAAUGCACUUUGUUAACUGUUUGUGCUGAAAACUAAAAUAAAUAUGUUGCUCAAAAUUCACAUAAUAUGUUUUUCAGUUUGCAAAGGCUGCAUUUGUUUCAGAUUCUACACCAUCUAUAUGGGAGAUAAUCUCGCCAUCCAUAUGAAAGAGAUAGUGGAAUCAAUUUUGUCCCAUUCCAUGUCUUCCAACCAAACACAAGAACGUAACUGUUCCGUUUUAUUUUUUUAGCUCCAACCAAACAUAGGAAUGGAACCGACCCGUUCUCCUGGAAUGGAACCAUUCCAUUUGGUUCCUCAACUAAACACACCCUUGGUUUCUGCAUUGUUUCCAUUGAGCGUUCUGCUUUUAGGAUUCUUUUUUUCUGUGGUUUGGUGAUGACUCGUCGCUCGGUUAAUAAGGAGAGAGUCAUAGACGAGCCCAACUCCAACGCGUCACUUUAAUUGAACAUCCGUUUUGUUCGGAUUCUGACGUCUAGAUUUUACUCAUUUGGAUUGGUUAGAGGAUAUUGUCCGGUCGUGACUGACCAAAUCUGUCCGCUAUGGACGCAUUUCAUCCGACCGCCGUGAAAACUGAAAUAGCCCGCGCUCAUAGCCAUGCCAAUGUCUAUAGUUCAUGCCGACAAGAGCGUUAGCGGCUGACGCACAUGCCGGCCUAAAAAAAUCACCGAGGGUUCACACUAGCACAUUUGUUAGCGCAUAAAAAAGGCCCUAGUUCAUGUCUCGUGGCCCCUAAUUAAUGUCGGCACAGAAGCCGGCAUACAAAAUGAUGUCGCUCGUGGUUGUCAUCUAGCUCGAGCAUCACCUUUUGCUUCUUCUCCGACGAACCUCUUCUUUUCGGGGACAUCUUGCUCAAGUCCAUCAUCAUGACCUUCACCUCCUUCGCCAGGAACGAAUCUAGAAAAUAUAUAUUUGUUGGGGUCAUGUCUAUGGCAGUGGAGUCAUCUUCAAUAAAUACAUAAUGUUUAGUACUAAAUUAAUGAAGGAUUUUCUAAGUUCAUUAGGAUCAAUUGACCCCAAUGCCUACAAGGCAGUUUCGUCACUGUCCUUCGCAAUGAAAGCUAGCGCCACCUCUUUUGCUUUGGUGUUCGUGCUGAUUGCCUCAAUCUCGAGCUUCUUCGUUUGGACAGCCUUCUCAAUCUCGAGCUUCUUCCUUUUUACGGCCUCCUUCAUCUCGAGCUUGUUCGUUUGGAGCUCCUUGUAGACCUUCAUUUGCUCCUCUUUUUCUUGGCGCUUCCUCUCAUCCCUUGCUUCCUUUUAGGUCAUCAUGCCUUGCAAAGUUUCUUGCAAAAGCGAACGAUAUCGCAUCACGCUUCUCGUCUACCUUGGAGUUGGUCUUGCACCUCGGCCGCUUCUCUCCUUCUUCAUGCUCAACGACGGUCUUCGGACCUCCAUUCAUCUUUUGGAAAAUAUAUCGCUCUUUGAACUUGGGGCAAUCUUUGAUGAUCGUCCGACAAUGGGUUAGGCUGAAUGUGUUGGUAAUAUGGCCUACAAACAAUAAUAUUUGUAUUAUCAUAUUUCCAUAUUCAUAAUUAAAGAGUUUAUACUCUAUGCUAUAACUAUCAUGAUCCUGGAAUAUGCGAUUUAGUGAAAAACUCAUAUGCACGUGUGGAGUGAUAAACAGUUAAAUAAAAGGUUCCUAGUGUUGCCUCUAGGACUAGCUAAACUGUUGUUGGUGAUCACAUUUUCUGGAUCUUAGGAUAUCGUUAAGUGUAAACAAUAGUCCUAAAACAACAUUGAGAUUAUGAAUUGAGUUUGUAUCUUCAGUAUUCAAUUGUAAUAACACGGAGUGUUAACAUGUGACUUUGCUCCUUAGACCAUGAAAGUAUCAUAGUCACUUCUUACUAUACGGUGAACUUUGGGGUUGCUCAAACAUCACCUAUAACACAGUGAUCAUAAGGACAACUUACAGGCUCAUCGGGAAGUUUGACAAGAGACUAGAUAGCUCUAGAGUGAGAUUUGCUCCUCUCACGAUGUAUAGGGGUUCUUAGGGCCCUCUCGGUGUGAUGACAUCUAUCAUCAUCUGGCCAGGCACCGGUGACUGCAUUACAGGAAUGCCGGAACACGACAACGAGAAACAAGAACAAAACUGGCAACGAGGAUAACGGUAUAGUGAGCAUGUGAUGACUCAAGAGGAUACCGUUGCAUUCCGGGCUUUGCGAAGUAUCACGAAGCAAAGGUAACAUCAUAUGAUAACCAAAGAUACAUGAUACCUCUGUUUAUUGAUUAGGUAUUGGAACAGAAAAGAGUAUCCCGCACCUAAUGGCCCAAUCCUUUUUGUAGCAAAGGAUAAGCCUAGACGAACUCUUAUAUAAAGCAAAGCGCUCUCGAGGACACACGGGAAUUAUUGUCAAGUUAGUUUUCAUCAUGCUCAUAUGAUUCGCGUUCGUUACUUUGAUAAUUUGAUAUGUGGGUGGACUGGUGCUUGGGUGCUGCCCUUACUUGGACAAGCCUCCCACUUAUGAUUGACCCCUUUCGCAAGCAUCUGCAACUAUGACAGAAGAAUUAAGAUAAAUCUAACCAUAGCAUGAAACAUGUGGAUCCAAACCAGACCCUUACGAAGCAACGCAUAAACUAGGGUUUAAGCUUCUGUCACUCCAACAACCCAUCAUCUACUUAUUAUUUCUCAAUGCCUUCCCUUAGGCCCAAAUCAUGGUGAAGUGUCAUGUAGUCGACGUUCACAUAACACCACUAGAGGAAAGACAACAUGCAUCUCAUCAAAAUAUCGAACGAAUACCAAAUUCACAUGAUUACUUAUACCAAGACUUCUCCCAUGUCCUCAGGAACAAACGUAACUACUCACAAAUCAUGUUCAUGUUCAAGAUCAUAGGGGCAUUAAAUAUUAUUAAGGAUCUGAACAUAUGAUCUUCCACCAAAUAAACCAAUUAGCGUCAACUACAAAGAGUAAUCAACACUACUAGCAACCCACAGCUACCAAUCUGAGGUUUUGAGACAAAUAUUGAAUACAAGAGAUGAACUAGGGUUUGAGAGGAGAUGGUGCUGGUGAAGAUGUUGAUGAAGAUUGACCCCGGACCUCUCGAUGAGAGGAUCAUUUGUGAUGACGAUGGCUUCGAUUUCCCCCUCCGGGAGGGAAGUUUCUCGGCAGUGUAAGUGCAUCUAGUGCCACCCCUAGUUGGUUUUGGAGUAUUGACGACAAACAUGGUUGAGGGACUAAUGUGUUUGUGAGAAUUGCAGGAUAACAUAGGUAGAAGUCCCUCAUUGAUUCAGUUUUCCUACCAGAGAUGACCCCUAAAAAUGUAUGAAGACAUUGAAGUCAAAGGUGGUAUGUGAAGACAUUCACAUUGAAGACUAUGACAAGAGAAGACAUCGCGUGAAGACUAUGGAGCGCGAAGACUUAGUUGUUUCAUCGUUCUUUCUCUUCUUUGUUGAGUCAUAGGAACCACCGUACUGUUAAGUGGGGUCCAAGUAAACCAGUCAGAAUGACUGAAGUGAUGCUUAACCAAAAUCCUAUGUCCUCGAGCGAAGACAAUGAGAGCAAAUCUUAUCCAGAGCUAGAUAAGUCAGCUUUGCUUGUAGCUCAAGUAAAGUUGCCGUGUGUGUUUGAAAUCAGACCGUUGGAACACGUGUCAGUUCCUUAGUGACCCAGGGUCAUUUCGGACAAAUCAGGUUGGGUUGCCUAGUGGCUAUAAAUAGCCCACCCCCUACACCAUAAAUUGGUUGGCUGCUCAGAGUUAGUGCACAGCUUUUGUCGUUUGAUAGCAACCCACCUCGAAGCCUUUGAGAGAGAAAUCCUUGCGAGGACAAAGCCCUAAACACCCAGAGCUAAAGAGUAUUAGGCAUCACUUAAGUCUUCUUUUCUGUGUGACGCUUUGACGAAUUUGGACCUAGUGAAAAGGACUCUAAGCCUUCGCGCAAACAAGCAAAGUAGAAGCCACCUCCUCUUUAGAAAAAUGAGAGCUGCUCUUUGGUUGAUUCAUUGUCCUUUCCCUUUGCUCUAGCGUUCUGAAGACUUAUUACACUUGAGGACUGUGAAUCCUCCAGCCGGUUAGGCGUCACAUUCUGAGCAUCCAAGAGUCAUUGUGGAUCGCCAGUGAACGAAGUCUGUGAAGGUUUGGAAGUCUACCUUGAAGACUUACCAGAGUAAUUGGGCGAGGACUGGGUGUCCUUAGCUCAAGGGGAAUAAGGUGAAGAUGCGGUCUUCUGAGUUGAAUCUCAGCCUCCCUAACCAGACGUAUAGUUGUCACAGCAACUGGAACUGGUCCAACAAAUCAUUAUCUUCAACGAGCCACUGGUUCUAUCCUUCCCAUCUCUUUAUUUGCAGAUUGGUCCUUGUGAAGUCAUUGCAUGUUUGCAUUAUCUAUUUGUCUUCACUGUGUGACUGCUUGUUCUGAUUGGCUUCAUACUAUCUUCCAUCCUAAUCUAUACUGCCUAGCUGCUAUUAGUCUUUGUGCUUUCAUUUCAUUGAAUAAUUGACUAUGGCUUGCUUAGUGUAGUCUACCUUUCGCUGCAUGGUAAUAGGUUUAUUUCUAUCGUUUGUCUUCGAAACUUCCAUGUUUUGAAGACUUUCAUAAAAAUCGCCUAUUCACCCCCUCUAGUCGAUCACUAGCACUUUCAAUUGGUAUCAGAGCAAGAUACUCCCUUGUUCUGUGUGAUUCGGUUUAACCACCUGGAGUUUUAGCUAUGUCGACUGCAGGGAUAAUCAAAGUCUCUGCUGCGUGCCCAGUCUUCGAUGGAACUGAAUAUCCCUACUGGAAGAAUAAGAUGCGCAUGCAUCUGGAAGCCAUUGAUGUCGACCUCUGGUAUGUUGUCAAGAAUGGCGUCCCCAAGGCUGGUGAAGGUGUCACCGUUGUUGAUGUCAAGAAGUUCGUUCAACUGGAUUCCACUGCCAAGAACAUCAUUUGUGGUCAUCUGACCAAAGGACAGUAUGGCCGUGUGAGUGCUCUGGAAACAUCCAAGCUAGUCGGGGACUGUCUCUCCAAGGUCAACGAAGGCGUCUCAACCCAGAGAGAUCAAAGAAUCAGUGUCCUUCGCAACCUCUUCAACCGCUUCAAGAGAAACGACAAUGAGAAUGUUCAGCUCACGUUUGAUCGACUCACUGACAUCACAAAUGAGCUUCAAGCCCUCGUCGCUACUGAGAUCACCAAGCAUGAAGUCGUCAAGACACUCCUGAGAUCACUUGACAACUCGUUUGACACCCUAUCCUUGAUAAUUCAAGAACGCCCUGACUUCAAGACACUCGACCCGUCUGACAUACUUGAAAGGCUCAACACACGUGAGUUUCAGCUUUCAGAGAAAAGAGACAUCUACGGUCCCAACUAUGGGCGAACUCAUGCUUUGAAGGCAAAAGUUGUUUCCUCAUCUGAAGAAGAAUCUGAUUGCAGUUUUGAUGAUCCUGAAGACAUUGGAAAGGAGCUUGCUAUGCUUGUGAAGAAGUUCCAGAAAUUCACCAAGAAGAAAGGCUUCAGAAAGUCCUCACGAUCCAGCUCAAGGAAUGACGAAGCUUCUCCUCAUGACUACAAGAAGAGAACAUGCCACAAGUGCAAGAAACCUGGUCACUACAUCUCUGAGUGUCCGCAGUGGGACAAUGAGAACAACAAGAAGAAGAAGAGCAAGGAAUAUGAUUCUGACGACAAGAAGAAGAAGAAAUACUCAAAGUCUUCUUCCAAGUCUUCAUCAAAGUCUUCAUCACACAAGAAGAGCUCAUCUGGCAAGGCUCGUGCAUUUGUUGGCAAGGAAAUGGAUUCAGAGGAGGAGUCUGCUUCUGAGGAGGCGGAGGUGGAGUCUGAGGAGGAGUCUGAUUCUGGCGUUGCAAGUCUGGCUACAGCCUACGUUGCCAAGUCCAUCUUCAACAUUGAAGACAAUGACUUCAUCACCGACGCUGAUGCUAAUGACAAGGAAAACUCUGCUCCCACCUACUGCUUCAUGGCACGCGGUGCCAAGGUAAACUCAUGCACUACUCACUAUCAAACAUCCAGUGAAGAUGACUCUGAUUGUGGUUCCAAACCCAGCUACAAAACACUUGCUAAAAUUGCAACUGAACAACAGAAAGCUAUGGAACAUAUUUAAAAAUUGUUAGACAAAAGCGAUGACCUGUUAGACGCUGAAAUGACUUGAUCUCAGUCCUUAAUUGAAGACAUAAAAAAUCAUCAUGUUAAGUAUGAGGAACUUGAAAGUCGUCAUGAAACGCUCUCAACAACUCAUGAAAAGUUUUCCUAUGAUUAUCUUCAAAGGAAGCAAGAUCUUGAGAAAUUGAGAGCGGCUCAUGAAGAUCUUCAAAAGGAAAACGAGUCACUUCACGCCAAAUAGAUCAGUUCCGCUCAGGAAGGAUUUGAACCACCAUGUCUUAAAUGCAUUGAGCGUGACAACGCUACUUCUGUUGCUGGAUGUUCUACUGCUGCUACUGUUGCAAUAUCUUCAAUUGUUGAUGUGGUAACUAACCCCUCUGCUAAGGAUGCCACUGCUAUUGCUGAUGAAAAUGCUAGGUUGAAGACAUUGCUUGAAACAGGGAUGUACAAAAGUCUCAAAGGGCAUCAUACACUAUGUGAUGUCCUCAAAAGGCAGAUCCUGAACCGAAACCCUAGGAAAGAGGGUGUUGGGUUCGAAAGGAAAAUGAAUGCUGAUGGCUCUUACUAGAAACCUGAGCAGUACCCCAAAACCACAUGGGUUGCUGCAAAGAAACCUUCAGUGGAUCCAUCCACCCUAUCUGGCUUCACUUGUGCUAAUCCCAUUGUUAUUGAUGAAUCCUUUGAUGCAAACUAUAAACUGUUUAAGAAUCAGAAUGGUGAAGUAUUUGCCAGGUAUAUUGGUACUAACUGCCAGAAUGGGCCACCUAUGAAGAAAGUCUGGGUGCCGAAAAAGUGUCUGGAAAAUCUUCCUGUGUAUGUCGUCAUGACACCACAAGUGAAGAAGACAAACCCCAGACCACGGGCUUCAUAUGGUCCAAAGGCUUCAUACAGACAGAGGACUCACCUGAGUCGCACUAACGCAAAUGUUUUGCAGGGAAACCAUACUCAGGCCUAUGAAUAUGAGUGCGUUUCAUCAAACCACCAUGUUGAUAAGACCAAGAACUACUCUGCUUAUUCUUAUGCGUACUAUUGUCCACCUGCAAGACUAUUUGCUAGGGCUCCAAAGCCAAAGUUCUUAUAUGCUGCACUUAGACUCAUUGCUUCGAAGCCACCCUUGAAGAUGUGGGUGGCUAAGAAAGCUUAACUCUUUUUUGCAGGGAAGGGUCUCCAGCUGAAAAUCAAAUGCGUCUGAAGCUAUUGCUGGGGACCUUAAACAUCUUGUAGGGCGCAAGAUCAAAUGCCCAAAUGGUCUUAUUAUGUAUUUUGUUCCCGAGUUGCUUGCUACUUGCCCUAUCAGUCCUAACCUCGAUCUAAGCUUUCAUAAUCCACUUGCUCGUCAAAUGUUUAUGCUUCACAUCUCUUCGUGAAGCCUAUCCCCCUAACUGCACUGCAGGGUAUGACACCAGCUGCUUCAGAAUGGAUUAUUGAUAGUGGAUGUACUAAUCACAUGUCUGGCAAGCGAUCUUCUCAUGGACUCAACCUUACGUCCAUCUGACAAGAGUCACAUCACAUUUGCUGAUACUGGUAAAAGCAAGGUAUUGGGUCUAGGUAGAGUUGCAAUCUCAAGGGAUCAUCACAUGGAUAAAGUGAUGAUUGUUGAAUCCCUUGGUUUCAACUUAAUGUCUGUCUCAACGCUUUGCAAUUUAAACAUGAUUGUGAUGUUUGGAAAAUAUCGUUGCCUUGUUCUAAUGGAAUCUGACAAGUCUCUAGUAUUUGAAGGGUAUCGAAAAGAUGAUUUGUACAUGGUAGAUUUCUCAGCAGGACCACAACUUGCCGUAUGUCUUCUUGCAAAAGCUUCAGAAUGCUGGCUCUGGCAUCGGAGGCUAGGGCAUGCUGGCAUGAGGAAUUUGCACACUCUUGCAAAGAAGAAGCAUAUCAUAGGCAUCGAGGGCGUCAAGUUCAAGAAGGAUCACUUAUGCGGUGCCUGCGAAGCUGGAAAGAUGACGAGGGUCAAGCAUCCCUCGAAGACAAUCAUGACAACGACUCAACCCUUCGAACUGCUACACAUGGACCUCUUCGGUCCCACUCACUACUCAACUCUUACUACUACUGCUUGUCUCUAUGGCUUCAUCAUUGUUGAUGAUUAUUCAAGAUAUACACGGGUGCAUAUAAUCCUCUACAAGACUGAAGUGCAGGAUGUCUUCAGACGCUUCGCCAAUCGAGCCAUGAACAACUAUGGCGUCAAGAUCAAGCACAUCAGAAGUGAAAAUGGCAUUGAAUUCAAGAACACCGGCCUCGACACUUAUCUUGAUACUUUGGGCAUCACUCAUGAGUUCUCAGCCCCGUACACGCCGCAGCAGAAUGGCAUCGUGGAACGCAAGAACAGAACACUCAUUGAGAUGGCUCGGACGAUGCUCGAUGAAUACAAGACUCCAAGAAAGUUCUGGCCUGAAGCCAUUGAUACUGCAUGCCAUAUCAUCAACCGUGUUUAUCUUCACAAGCUUCCGAACAAAACAUCCUAUGAGCUCCUCACUGGUAAGAAGCCAAAUGUCAGUUACUUCAGAGUAUUUGGUGCCAGGUGCUGGAUCAAGGAUCCACAUCACACUUCAAAAUUUGCACCGAAAGCACAUGAAGGUUUUAUGAUUGGAUACAGAAAGGAUUCGCACUCCUACAGAGUCUUCAACCUCUUUCACUAUAAAGUGGUUGAAACUGUGGAUGUGCAGUUCGAUGAGACUAACGGCUCGCAAAGAGAGCACCUACCAAAUGUGCUAGAUGAAGUUCCAUCCAGUGAAUCCAUCAAGCUUAUGGGAACUGGAGAAAUCAUGCCGUCUGAAGCACAGCCCGAAGAGGAACUCAUCAUCUCUGCACCUGAUCAACCUGAAGACAAUGCUUAGCUUGAAGACAAUCCUUCUAACGAUGACAAUGAUCAGCAAGAGCAAAAUCUUCGUCCUGUUCAUCCUCGUGUUGCAAAUGAAGUACAGAUUGAGAAAAUAAUUGAUAGCAUCAAUGCACCAGGUCCACUCACUCGUUCAAGGGCAACACAACUAGCAAAUUUCUGUGGGCACUUCGCAUUCUUCUCAAUAUCUGAACCCAAGAAAGUUGAUGAAGCCUUCAUGGAACCUGAAUGGAUUCAAGCUAUGCAAGAAGAGCUUCAACAAUUUGAGCUGAAUAAUGUAUGGGAACUGAUCAAGCAUCCUGAUACUCGUAAGCACAAUAUCAUAGGCACUAAAUGGAUAUAUCGCAACAAGCAAGAUGAGCAUGGUCAAGUUUUCAGAAACAAGGCUCAUCUCGUUGCUCAAGGAUACACUCAAGUUGAAGGAAUUGACUUUGAUGAAACAUUUGCUCCGAUGGCUAGGCUUGAAGCUAUACGCAUACUGCUGGCCUAUGCAAAUCAUCAUAACAUUCUUCUGUAUCAAAUGGAAGUGAAGAGUGCCUUUCUCAAUGGCAAGAUUGAAGAAGAAGUGUAUGUUGCACAACCGCCUGGAUUUGAAGAUCCAAAACAUCCUGACAUGGUUUAUAAGCUCAACAAGGCACUGUAUGGCCUCAAACAAGCCCCUCGUGCUUGGUAUGACACACUCAAGGACUUCCUGAAGAGCAAAGUCUCCAAACCUGGUUCCCUGGAUCCCAUGCUCUUCACGAAGACAUAUGAUGGUGAACUGUUUGUGUGCCAAAUAUAUGUGGAUGACAUUAUCUUUGGUUGCACUAAUCAGAAAUACAGUGAUGAGUUUGGAUACAUGAUGCAAGAGCAAUAUCAGAUGUCCAUGAUGGGUGAGUUGAAGUUCUUCCUUGGUCUUCAAAUACGACAGCAACACAACAACAUCUUCACAUCUCAAGAGAAAUACCUCAAGGAUUGCCUGAAGAAGUUUGGAAUGCAAGACUGCAAAGGUUACACAACGCCAAUGCCUACCAAGAGUCAUCUAGAUUCUGUCGCCAAUGGUAAAGAGUUCGAUCAAAAGGUAUACCACUCCAUGAUUGGUUCUUUGCUUUAUUUAUGUGCAUCUAGGCUAGAUAUCAUGCUUAGUGUUUACAUGUGUGCCUGAUUCCAAGCGGCACCAAAGGAAUCGCAUCAGUUAGCUGUGAAGCGAAUUCUUCGAUAUUUGGCUCACACCCCAACACUAGGAUUAUGGUAUUCAAAGGGCUCAGAGUUUGAUCUAGUUGGAUUCUCGGAUGCUGAUUAUGCUGGUGACAAGGUGGAUCACAAGUCCACAUCAGGCACAUGUCAUUUUCUAGGACGAUCACUUGUAUGUUGCUCUUCAAAGAAGCAGAACUAUGUAUCUCUCUCCACUGCUGAAUCUGAAUACAUUGCUGCUGGGUCUUGCUGCGCUCAGCUCCUAUGGAUGAAGCAAACACUCAAAGACUAUGGCAUUCAUCUAAAGCAAGUGCCACUCUACUGCGACAACAAAAGCGCCAUCAAGAUUGUCAACAACCCAGUUCAGCACUCGAAGACAAAGCACAUUGAAAUUCGUCAUCACUUUCUCAGAGAUCAUGUCAUGAAGGAAUAUAUUGAUAUCAUUCAUGUCAGCACUGAAGAGCAACUGGCAGAUAUCUUCACAAAGCCCUUGGAUGAGAAAAGGUUUUGCAAGUUGCGGUGUGAGCUAAAUAUCUUGGAAUCCUCAAAUGUCCUGUGAUCACGCACACAUCCUAACCUGAUGCAUGUUGAUGACUUAGAUGUGCAAACACAUGAAGUAACGUAUAUAUUCAAUUAAUGAAGACUUACACUCUAAGUGUGAAUACAUUAACACGGAAUUUGACUUCGGAGCACCACGAUAAUUCUGCGCCGUGUCUGGGUCUAAUAUUUCCUAUACGGUGGGUAACGACACCACCAAACUUUUGUUUAGGAAUACUUUCUGUUGGCGGUACAUUUGCAAAGUCUUCGCAUUUUGUUUGUCUUUAAUGUUAACAUGGCCUCAUGUUUAUCUUCAAUGUACUGAUUUGGUUUCUGUCCUCUACAGCAUUCACUUAUAGCCAUGUCUUCUAGUUGAAUCUUUUGAACUAAGUGAAUGUGAUCGGACCCUGACCUUUCUAUGCUCCCGUCUUAAGUCUAUCUAUCCAAAACAUAUGCAUUCUACUGAAACUGUCAAAACGUCUUCUCUAAGUCCUUGUCAGCAGAAGACACAGAGACAAACAUUAAUCUGUUUUCAAUGCUCAAUCCUUUUUACCUGAAACCCGAAGAAGUGGGAACGACCACCCGACAAUCUAGGCGUGCGUGGGAACGUGGAACAACCUCCAAUGUGUUGCAUGAUCGCCACGUGUCCUUCAGACGUGAACCGCCAGGGGCACCUGUGUAAUAACAUUGUGUCGUCCCUAUCCCUAUAAAUACAUGCCUCACCCCAGUCAUUAUCUCUUCUUCCACUCUCGCACAAACCCUAGCGCCACCGCUAGCCCUCGACGACACCGGUGACGAAGCACUCAGCUGCCGAGACCUCACCGACGCCGUCCUCACGCCGGCCGCGGACAUCGUCUUCUCCGCCAUCGCCGUAGGUGUCCUCCGUCGCCAAGUUAGGGCACGGAAGAUCGAACUGCUCGGCCUCCUCUCCCACCCUGUCUAGCAAUUCCUCGUGUGGUACAUGUUCGUGGGAGAAUCCCUUAGUUCUCAUAGUCUGCAUUCAUUUGCAGAGUUCUUACAGCGUCACAUAAAUUCUCCUGAAGCCAGUUCCUGUCUGACCAGUAGAUGAAAAACUUCGACAGUGUUGAAGCCUUCCAGUCUAAACUUCAUGACAACUCAAAAAUCAGUCAAGAAGGGCGGCAGACAACGUCGUGGAAACACUGGUAAGGACCUGCCACCGG
rnacentral:lncRNA from 1 species